UCAAAAUGUUUCUUUAUAUUCUAUAUUUAAAAAAAGUCUAAAAGAUAAAUCCAAAAUGCCAGGUUCAAAUUGUUGUCUACCAGGAUGUACAGUUUCAAGAUCUAUUAAGCACAAAGAUAUCACCGUAUUCAGAAUUCCUAUGAGGACAGGAGACUUCUAUAAGAAAUGGAGACAAAGAUUGUUAGCUGUUAUCACUCAGUAUAGAGACUUUGACAAAGAUUUGAAAAAAAGACUCUCAAAGGGCAAUAUUUAUAUAUGUGAGAAUCAUUUUUUAGCAGAAGAUAUUGAAUUGACAAGUAAGGAUACUUUUAUAUAUUGAGUUGUUUAAAUUUGCUUUUACACUCUGUGUUAUUUAAUUCCAAAAGCAUUUUAUUUUGGGAAACUCUGAUAAGUUUGAGUACAAUAAACAAAUAAAUUUCAUAAAGCCUAAAGUAUCUGUGGCCUUAUUUAAAUUUGUGGAUAACAUAUUCUCUUUUUUUCUUAGUAUAGUUCUUAGUAUUGUUCUUAUUUUUGUGUGAUAACUUAUAUUUACUUUAUUGAAAUAUGUUGAAUUUCAGAAACAGUAAGUAAAUUUACGCUUUUACGCUUUACGCUUUUACGCUUACGCAUUACGCUUAGAGGCUUUACCUACUGUUAACCUACCUAUAAAAUCACAUGAAAAAGAAAAAAAGGUACCUAGAAGACACAUAAGUAUUGUAAAAGAUAUUGUCCCACAGAAACGAAUAAAUUAUUCAAACUUAAUUGAUUUACAGAAAAAAACUCAAAAGUUAAAACUUAGUGGAUGGGAGAUGACAUGUAAUGACAACAAUAUCAAAUUUAAAAAGUUGUUGCCUUUGUAUUUGUUACCUAAAUAUGAAGUUGUAGUGGAUGACAGAUUAGCGUUCACCAUUAUUGUAUUUGGAUGGCUCUUGCCAGAUACUCACUUAAUCUAUAAAUUAUACUCACGAUCAAUGCUGAACACUACAGUUACCGAACUUUUAUGCAAAAUAUGUACACACAGAAAACAUAUGUUGCAUACCCGCUCAACAAAAAAUGUUGCUUUCAAUUUUCAACAUAAAAUGUUGAUUACAAUGCAACAUCAAUGUUGAGAAACGGGUUUUUGAAUAGUAAAUUUCGUUGAAAAAUAAAACACCACAUUAGUUGUUGAGAUAACGAAGUACACUGCCAUUUUGUAUAAUUAAUAAGUUCACGAGGCGCAUGGUUUGGAGUAAAACAACUAUUUUUUUCAUCGAAAAAUUCUUGCAUAAUUUUAUUCAAUGUAUCAAUGCCAUUUAUGCAGAGAAUUAUUUUUUAAAGUUAAAGAGCUACACUGUCAUUUACGUAAUCAUGAAGCCGCUGGUGAAUUAAGAAUGCCAUUUCGCAAUUUAUGGAACCUCAAAAGACACAUGGAUAAGUAUCACAAUCAGUCACAUUGCGAGAAAGAUGUUUGUGUCCCUGUCAUUAAUAGCAACACUUUAUGCAAUAAUGACGACGAUUGUAAUUAUGGAAGAGAAGAUCAAAAUAAGCGAUGCAAACUUUCAGACAUUCAUACUGAGGCAGUUUCUUUAGUAUCUUCUCUGAGAUCAAACAGUGGUUUACCACAUAAUAUAAUUUCAUGUGUCAUUCCAUCCUUCAGUCACAUGACUGACUGUUUAGCAGAUUACUUAAAUGAACAAGUCCAGGAGUUGUUAAAGUGUGUGCCAAAUAUUCACCAAGAUGUUAUAAAUAAUAUUGAAGAAGUAUUUAUCAAGGUUCGUAAUCCUCUUGAAUUUCUUUCUACAAAAUACAAGCAAGAUAAAUAUUUUGCUGAACAUCCUCUUAUUGUUAAUUCUGAAACACUUCCAAUUGGUACUAGGUAUGAGGUUAAAAAUGGACUCAAUAAAUUAAUCUAUGACACCUAUGAAUAUGUGUCAAUUGAAAACAAUCUUUGUAGCUUAUUUAGUAGUGAAGAAUUUGUUGAAUUGAUGUUUGGUAAUAAAACUAAAGACAAUGAUUUAAUUGACUGUUUUCAAGAUGGAGAAUGCUGUAAAAAGCAUUUCUUAUUUAGUGACGAUAAUAAAUUUUCCAUCAUGAUUCAGUUAUUCUACGAUGGUAUAGGUACAAUAAAUCCUCUUUGUGGAAAUGCAUCAACCAGUAAUGUUGGUGUUUUCUAUUAUACAAUUAAAAAUUUGCCUCCGAGUCAUAACUCUUGUUAUGCUAAUAUACAUCUAUUUUAUUAUAGUCUAUACAUCUAUUUUAUUAUAGUAAAUUCUCAAUCUUCAACAGAAUGUUCAUUAACUAUAGAUCCAAUAUCUGUAUCAACACCAGCUGCAAUAAAGCUACCACUACCUGCCCGUGAUGUUGUAAUUGUAGAGUCACAGGUUUAUGCUAUCGAGGAGUUAUUAUGUAACUAUACUAAGGGAGGAACUAAAAUAGUUGAAAAUCUGAAACAAGGCAUCUACUACACAAGAUCGGAACGUGUGUUAAUGAUUAAAGUCCUUGGCAAAUACCUGAUGAAAAAUUGUUUAAUGAAGAGAUCUUCUGUGCAAAGGGUGCCACUGGUUACCUUGCCCAAUAUGUGCGGCAAAAACGUCACAGAGACCCAUUUAUUAAAAAGCAUUGGACUUGGCGAAAAAAUAGAGUUACCAUUACUAAUCCUUUAUCAAACAUUGAUGAUGAUGAGCGUCGUCUUCGAGAAAGUAGACCAACGGCGGUUAACCUAUCUGAGUUAGUGCAGCUCAUGCAUAACACUAGAGAGCAUAGACGAGCUUGGAUCAAUACUUGCAAUCCUGAUGCCACUAGUAUUUUAAACAGAUUCCCUCGUUUGUUUGAUGUAAACGAGUUGAUUAGCAAAGAGUUUGCAGCGAUUGCAGGCGAAUUUCUUUCUCUGCGAGUUGAUAUGCUAUCUUUUCGUCAAAAGAUACUUGUUUACUCUGAAAAUCUUAAAGAUUACUCUAAUAUGCAACAAAUUUUAAGAGCGUACCAAUCUAAUGAAUUUGAUGAAG
rnacentral:misc_RNA from 1 species